rnacentral:rRNA from 1 species
UGACUGAGCGGCGGACGGGUGAGUAACGCGUGGGCAACCUGCCUUACACAGGGGGGAUAACAGUUAGAAAUGACUGCUAAUACCGCAUAAGACCACAGGACUGCAUGGUCCGGUGGUAAAAACUCCGGUGGUGUAAGAUGGGCCCGCGUCUGAUUAGGUAGUUGGCGGGGUAACGGCCCACCAAGCCGACGAUCAGUAGCCGACCUGAGAGGGUGACCGGCCACAUUGGGACUGAGACACGGCCCAGACUCCUACGGGAGGCAGCAG